GGUUACUCGCACAAAGCCGAACUUCGUCCCUUUUCUGUUUCUUUUCAUUGGCGCAAAGGUAUGUACCACCCUCCCUACCUUCUGACAUUGCAUCGUGAACCAACGCCAGUUGAUGGUAAUAGGCACAUUCUCAACAUAUAUCGAAAUGAUCUGAUUGAAAUCAGAAUGGGCAGUGAAACUUAGAGGAGCAAAGUUUGUCCCACUCCAAUGCCCCAUCAGUCAUCUCUCCUAACCCUUCAAACCAUCCCAAAUAAAGUUGUUG
rnacentral:lncRNA from 1 species